CAUUGCCUGUGACUAGUCACAUUGCCCUGCCUAAUUGCAGGAGUCUGAGAAGUACACAUUUCUUAGUGCUUAGGGAGGAGAGGACAACCUGACAUUUAGGUUAGUUCCAAUUUUUCAUUAUUAUACAUGAGGCUACUGUGAGUAUCUUUGCAUACAGACACACAGGUGCAAUAAUUUUUCUAGGGCAUAAAUUGAAGUGAAAUUCCUGGGUCAUAAGACAUACAAAAGUUCACCUCUACUAGGUAAAGCUAAAUAGUCUUCCAACAUGGUUGUACAAAUUCACACUCCCCCAGUAGUGUGUGAGCAUUUCUGUUACUCCAUCAUCUCUCCAACAUUAGACAUUGUCAGGCCUCUGAGCCCAAGCCAAGCCAUCGCGUCCCCUGUGACUUGCACGUAUACGCCCAGAUGGCCUGAAGUAACUGAAGAAUCACAAAAGAAGUGAAUAUGCCCUGCCCCACCUUAACUGAUGACAUUCCACCACAAAGGAAGU
rnacentral:lncRNA from 1 species